AGUGAACGCUGGCGGUAGGCCUAACACAUGCAAGUCGAACGGCAGCACAGUAAGAGCUUGCUCUUACGGGUGGCGAGUGGCGGACGGGAGAGGAAUACAUCGGAAUCUACUUUUUCGUGGGGGAUAACGUAGGGAAACUUACGCUAAUACCGCAUACGACCUACGGGUGAAAGCAGGGGAUCUUCGGACCUUGCGCGAUUGAAUGAGCCGAUGUCGGAUUAGCUAGUUGGCGGGGUAAAGGCCCACCAAGGCGACGAUCCGUAGCUGGUCUGAGAGGAUGAUCAGCGACACUGGAACUGGGACACGGUCCAGACUCCUAAGGGAGGCAGCAGUGGGGAAUGUUGGACAAUGGGCGCAAGCCUGAUCCAGCCAUACCGCGUGGGUGAAGAAGGCCUUCGGGUUGUAAAGCCCUUUUGUUGGGAAAGAAAAGCAGCAGGUUAAUACCCCGCUGUUCUGACGGUACCCAAAGAAUAAGCACCGGCUAACUUCGUG
rnacentral:rRNA from 1 species